AAACUUGAUCACCCACUCGCAUAACUUUAACAUGAAGACUGUUUUUCUUUACGCUGCUGCUGUCUGUGUUGUGGUCUUUCUCUCAAUAGUGAGUGUGACCGGGGAAAAUUGCACCGUGGAUGCAAAUGAGUGUUCGCACCUGGUAUGUGGAACCGGCUCUGUAGUAUCCUGCACAGACAACCUUUGCACGUGCAAGCAUCUGGAUUUAAAUUGCGACCAUACCAGUGAUUGUCACGUCCACACCAGUGCAGAUGUGUGUUCCACUGACCGAUGGCAUUGCGGCCGAGAUCAUAUUUGUCAUUGCCGCAAUUUUGGAAAGUAAUAACAGUUCUCUGUUGGUGUUUACUUUGGACAUUUUAUUAAAUCUCUAAAUCUA